rnacentral:rRNA from 1 species
AUUGAACGCUGGCGGCAGGCCUAACACAUGCAAGUCGAACGAGUGGCGGACGGGUGAGUAAUGUCUGGGAAACUGCCUGAUGGAGGGGGAUAACUACUGGAAACGGUAGCUAAUACCGCAUACCAUCAGAUGUGCCCAGGUGGGAUUAGCUUGUUGGUGGGGUAAAGGCUCACCAAGGCGACGCUCCCUAGCUGGUCUGAGAGGAUGACCAGCAACACGGGAACGGGGCCACGGUCCAGCCUCCUCCGGGAGGCAGCAGUGGGGAAUAUUGCACAAGGGGCGCAAGCCUGAUGCAGCCAUGCAGCGUGUAUGAAGAAGGUUUUCGGGUUGUAAAGUACUUUCAGCGGGGAGGCGUUACCCGCAGAAGAAGCACCGGCUAACUCCGUGCCAGAAGCCGCGGUAAUAC